rnacentral:rRNA from 1 species
CCCAACUUGAAAAUCUCCCUUUGGAGAAUUGUAGUCUAGAGAAGCGCCCUCUGCGGCGGCCGGAGCCUAAGUCCGUUGGAAAACGGCGUCAGAGAGGGUGAGAACCCCGUCGGCUCUAGGCUUAGCUGCUCCACGAGGUGCUUUCCACGAGUCGGGUUGUUUGGGAAUGCAGCCCAAAAUGGGAGGUACAUCCCUUCUAAGGCUAAAUACUGGCGAGAGACCGAUAGCGAACAAGUACCGUGAGGGAAAGAUGAAAAGAACUUUGAAAAGAGAGUUAAAAAGUGCUUGAAAUUGUUGAGAGGGAAGCGUUUGGAGGUUAUAGGUGCGCCUAGGCUUAUACGGUCCUAACGAGCCGUUGUAUGUGCUAGGUGCUGGUCAACAUGGGUUAGCUUGGCGGGAUAACAGCGGGGGUUGAUACCCCGUCUAUGCCGCCGGGUUGAUCAAGGUGUGAAUGGCGCUUUGUCCCUCGGGAACUGC